AAGAACCGCUUCCCCGAGGACCUGGAGGCGCUCGGGGAGGCGGAGUAGAGGGCUGGGGCCCGGGGGUGCACGCAGGUUGGGCAGGGCGCGGAGCGCCUCGGCCUCGGUCCUCCCCACCCCCGGAGCGCCCCGGGACUGCCGCCUGCCCUGGCUGGGAGCUUUGUUCUUUUUCUUUCAACUACCUGUCUGAGCAGCGGGCUGGAGGGGGCCCAAAGAAAGGGCUGCUGCUUCCGGAGGGGGUCCCAUCAGCUUCCGAGGGGGCACUCUCGGGGAAGAAUGAGGUAGCGCCCCUGUUUCUCUGCCUCCCUCCCUCCUCGCCUCCUCUCCUCUCUCUCCUCUUUUGUUGCCUCUACUCUUGGACAUGACACAGCCUCUGCUGUUUCCCCCCUCCCACUUGGGAGUUUGCAGUGUGGACGCACAGCGAACACAGAAGAGAACAGACAGGAAGAGAAAACACCCAGCAGAGCCUGGAUGGAGCAAGAGAGCUUAGAAAACUCAAGGACGGCAUUUCCACACUUGCUGCUCUCGGCCUUCGGGUUUCUCAGUGAGAGAUUACGUGGUUUGUAUUUCUAGCCCUUCCCUGUGGAACAUAGCUGUG